AGUCAUUUCAAACACAUUGAAAAGUAACAUAACCCAUUUGGUAAGAAAUUAUACAUCAAUGAUCAUUAAAAUGAAAUGCAUAACGUUCACAAAAAAACCGUUCAUCCUAAACGGAUCCCCUAUAAAAACGUCUGGUUUAUCAACAUAUUGGUUGAGUUGAUUGGAAGUCAGCCUUAAUGCUUUACUUAAAGAAGAGACACACAAAUAUUAUCACAACUUACUGACAUAAGAUAAAUUUCAUUACACAAAUACGAAAUAUGGUCAACCACUAAUCUAAAACAUUACACCAAAAAUUAUAAAUACAACAACAAGUGUGACAAAAAACCAACCACGUUAAUAGACAAGAAAAAAAUGAAUGGAAACAAAAAAAAUAGUUACAUGGAAAUCAAGGUCUGGGAACAUAGUAAUCAAACAAAAUAACUACGGCUUAAAAUACAUUCACAUGAAACAUAGCAUCUAGCUUCAAAAUAAGCCAAACUUAGCCCAAAUAAAUAAAUAUGUUUUUGUGCCCUAUAACCUCCUUCGUCAGUCACCCCAAAUCGUCUACAAUCUAAGCUCCAAAAUCCACAUGCAAUUCACUCCUAUAUUAAGAAAAAUUAAAUCAAUUACCACUAACCACUAAUACAACAGCCAUAACUGGA
rnacentral:lncRNA from 1 species